GAUGCAGAACGCAGCGAAAUGCGAUAAGUAAUGUGAAUUGCAGAAUUCAGUGAAUCAUCGAAUCUUUGAACGCACAUUGCGCCCGCCAGUAUUCUGGCGGGCAUGCCUGUUCGAGCGUCAUUUCAACCAUCAAGCCCCCGGCUUGUGUUGGGGACCUGCGGCUGCCGCAGGCCCUGAAAAGCAGUGGCGGGCUCGCUGUCACACCGAGCGUAGUAGCAUACAUCUCGCUCUGGGCGUGCUGCGGGUUCCGGCCGUUAAACCACCUUCAUAACCCAAGGUUGACCUCGGAUCAGGUAGGAAGACCCGCUGAACUUAAGCAUAUCAAUAAGCGGAGGA
rnacentral:misc_RNA from 1 species